AUUGAACGCUGGCGGCAUGCCUUACACAUGCAAGUCGAACGGCAGCACGGGAGCAAUCCUGGUGGCGAGUGGCGAACGGGUGAGUAAAGUAUCGGAACGUGCCCAGCCGUGGGGGAUAACGUAGCGAAAGUUACGCUAAUACCGCAUACGAUCUAUGAAUGAAAGCGGGGGAUCGCAAGACCUCGCGAUUCGAGCGGCCGAUAUCAGAUUAGGUAGUUGGUGGGGUAAAGGCUCACCAAGCCGACGAUCUGUAGCUGGUCUGAGAGGACGACCAGCCACACUGGGACUGAGACACGGCCCAGACUCCUACGGGAGGCAGCAGUGGGGAAUUUUGGACAAUGGGCGAAAGCCUGAUCCAGCCAUGCCGCGUGCAGGAUGAAGGCCUUCGGGUUGUAAACUGCUUUUGUACGGAACGAAAAGGUUUGGCCUAAUAAGCUGAGCUCAUGACGGUACCGUAAGAAUAAGCACCGGCUAACUACGUGCCAGCAGCCGCGGUAA
rnacentral:rRNA from 1 species